GCCAGACUCCUACGGGAGGCAGCAGUGAGGAAUAUUGGUCAAUGGGCGCGAGCCUGAACCAGCCAAGUCGCGUGAGGGAUGACGGUCCUAUGGAUUGUAAACCUCUUUUGUCAGGGAGCAAAGGGCGCCACGUGUGGCGUUUUGCGAGUACCUGAAGAAAAAGCAUCGGCUAACUCCGUGCCAGCAGCCGCGGUAAUACGGAGGAUGCGAGCGUUAUCCGGAUUUAUUGGGUUUAAAGGGUGCGCAGGCGGAAUGUCAAGUCAGCGGUAAAAUUUCGGGGCUCAACCCCGUCGUGCCGUUGAAACUGGCGUUCUUGAGUGAGCGAGAAGUAUGCGGAAUGCGUGGUGUAGCGGUGAAAUGCAUAGAUAUCACGCAGAACCCCGAUUGCGAAGGCAGCAUGCCGGCUUCCGACUGACGCUGAAGCACGAAAGCGUGGGGAUCGAACAGGAUUAGAUACCCCAGUAG
rnacentral:rRNA from 1 species